rnacentral:lncRNA from 1 species
ACUUAAGUUAAAAGCCAGUGAAAGUGUUCCUGUGAAGCAUGACGAGAGUAAUGACACACAUACAGUUGCAGCCACAUUUAUGUGUGUUCUACCGGCUCAACCAACAGCCAUGCCGACGAACGCGAAACGUUAUCGCGAAAGGAGAACUUAUGCUAGAAGGAUGCCCCACGCCUGUUCUGAUAUUAUGAAAGAGAAGGAGAUAGAAGAGAAGAAAA